CCGGAAGCGAGGGGGGAUGACGCCCCCCCCUUGACCUCUUCCUCCAGGAGCCGGGACCAAAAUAACCGGGCGGGAGGGGACACCUCGCAGGGAAUCUCGGAGGGCUACCGGGACGAAGAGGCUACAUCUACACAGGGCGGUGUAGGGGAAGCCCGUCUCUUCGACCUCCGUGCCUGGGAGUAGGGGCCGAGAGCCAGAUUAUUGCGAUGACCGGAAUCCCGGCGAGGACGGCCGCGCUCCGGUUCCUUGGUCAAAUUUGUGAAUUUCGCUAACACGAAAAGUUAAACAAGACACAGAGGAGAAACUGCACUUAAGGGUUUCUAACGAAUUACCUUUACUAGCAAGAAUAAAACUGCAAGAAAAUUAAACGUAAAAAUGUCAGUCCUAAAUCAUGCACGAGUUUCAGAAUAUUUGAAUAUUUCCUUUUGGGGCCCACCGCUGCCAAGGUGGCCGCAGUUUCGGGUUUCGCCGGACAGGGCUCACUAAAAGGUGCCUACGCCCCAGGGGUGGACGACUUGGAGACAGGGGCCGGGAAGCCUUUGUCUCAGGUCACCCUGCGCCCGGUUUGUCGCCUAAGUUUAUGGGAUGGACGGGAGACAACACUUGUAAGUUUAGCGUUUUGGGAACGUUGUUUCGUUUAAUCCUCCCCACACCGUUUUAGGGUGGGUGUUCAUAUCUCCCAUUUUGUGGAUGGAGCAACUGAG